UACGGGGGGGGCAAGCGUUGUUCGGAAUUACUGGGCGUAAAGGGCUCGUAGGUGGCCAACUAAGUCAUACGUGAAAUCCCUCGGCUUAACUGGGGAACUGCGUCUGAUACUGGAUGGCUUGAGUUUGGGAGAGGGAUGCGGAAUUCCAGGUGUAGCGGUGAAAUGCGUAGAUAUCUGGAGGAACACCGGUGGCGAAGGCGGCAUCCUGGACCAACACUGACACUGAGGAGCGAAAGCCAGGGGAGCAAACGGG
rnacentral:rRNA from 1 species